GACGAACGCUGGCGGCGUGCUUAACACAUGCAAGUCGAGCGGUAAGGCCCUUUCGGGGGUACACGAGCGGCGAACGGGUGAGUAACACGUGGGUGACCUGCCCUCAGCUCUGGGAUAAGCCUGGGAAACCGGGUCUAAUACCGGAUAUGACUCCAUGACGCAUGUUGUGGGGUGGAAAGCCUUGUGCGGCUGAGGAUGGGCCCGCGGCCUAUCAGCUUGUUGGUGGGGUGAUGGCCUACCAAGGCGACGACGGGUAGCCGGCCUGAGAGGGCGACCGGCCACACUGGGACUGAGACACGGCCCAGACUCCUACGGGAGGCAGCAGUGGGGAAUAUUGGACAAUGGGGGAACCCUGAUCCAGCCAUGCCGCGUGAGUGAUGAAGG
rnacentral:rRNA from 1 species